GUCUUGAAAUCCUAUGACGUCGCAUUGAACACGCUCGCUCAUUGGGUAAAAUAUACACCGGUUUUACAAGAGCCGCGCCGAAACGAAAAUGAUUUCUACGAACUAACAGGAAACUGGAAGCUUUUAUGUUAACAAAAUUCCCAAUAGUCGAAAGUCAAACGCUGUUGUAGAACGUCAGAAAAGCACAGACUUUCAGAGAGGAACAAGGAAGAGAUUCGCAGGAAAGCCCGAAAGCGCCAGGGGAAAACGUAAGGGGACUGUUCGACAGGUUCUUGUCAAAUUUCCCGCAAGAUUCAAUGAUCCUUCUGUUACCAUUGUUGAUUUGAUGAAAUACAGCUUUGAGAGGAUGAUGACAAAAGUGAACAAUAUCGGCGUCAACUUGCGUGCUGGGGAACCAGCUCCUGGUACAAUGACGCAUAUGCCAACCAUAGACAUUUCACAUAGACACCUUUCACAUCACUCAGGUCACAGUAUAAACAGCCAAGCCAUGGAACGAGCACGAAGAGCCGGACUAGAACUACGCGUAAUAGGUGACGAAGUCAAUAUGAGUAUUUUUACAUUGUGUGUGCGUGCUCCAGCUGUUGUGGAUUCACCACGAAAACAUCCAGAGAGAUAGCCAAAAAGAAAUGGUGCUCUGUGAUUGUGUACGUAUAAAAAAAACUGCACAUGUCAAUUUCUUCAAAAGUUGGCAUUGAAACUUAAACAAACAACUUAACAAGCAAUGGUACAAACACUCCUGUGUUGGUAUGAGCUGUAACAGAAAAUGUGUCAUUUCGGUUCAGUGUUGCUGCUUGCUCAAACACCUGCAAAAUGAACUAUCCACGCAGCUCAUUCAAGAGAAUUAAUUAUGUACAUAACCAUAUCAAACUUUGAUAUAUCUGAGGGGUGAAAAAACUAUGGUAUUAUGUAAAUAAGUUUUAAAAAUGACCAUUGAUAUACCAAGUGCAUCAGAGUUCAGGGAUACUGACUUUGAAAAAAACCCAAAUCAUAUCAUUUUCUAUUUUCUUUGGGCUAAUUUAGUUUUUCAAAGGUUAUUUUUAUCUGCACUUGUCAAAUAAAGGGACUCUAAUGUCAGAAAUGUAUGUGUUCAUGGUUCUA